AUUGCUUCUCAGCCAUUUAGCUAAGAUGAAGUAUAGUAUCUGUUCUUAUCAGCUUAAAUGGUAAAUGAGAAGAAUAUGUCUUAUUGUAAUAAAUUACUAGAGUUUGGCAUUUUCA
rnacentral:snRNA from 1 species